UCAGUUUAUAGAGACCUGUUUUGCUGAUUUAUCAGAAUUAUCAAAAGACCUUAAUGGGUUCCCAUGAAACUUCCUUCUGUGAGAGAGAUGGCUUGCAGUGUAUCUCCCCAAAGCAGUUCAAGAGUUGUGAAGGGGAAGGAUGACUGACUGAUCCAGGCUGAACAGAAACUUGACUCCUCUGCUGUUGAUUUUGGCCCUCUGGGAUUUGCUCAAGGAGAUUCAGAGAGAAAGUAGAGUGCAACCACACGAUUCCAUGUUUCUUCUGAUAUACUAUUU
rnacentral:lncRNA from 1 species